GAGCGAUCAUAAGGGAGCUGACUGCAAAUCUGCCGUCAUCGACUUCAAGGUUCGACUCGAGCAAUAGUGAGAGAAUGUUGCCGCAGGCAACGGCCCGAAGGGUGAGGAGCUUUAGCUCCGAAUAAUCCUUCCCGCUAUAGAA
rnacentral:sRNA from 1 species